rnacentral:rRNA from 1 species
AUUCCAGCUCCAAUAGCGUAUAUUAAUGUUGUUGCAGUUAAAAAGCUCGUAGUUGGAUUUCUGGUCGGGACGUCUGGCCGGCUCCGCAAGGGGUCGUUGCAUUGACUGUACUCGUCCAUCCUCAGGUUGACUAACUCUGGUAUUUAUUUAUCGGUGUUAGAACGCCUGUCGUUUACUGUGAACAAAUUAGAGUGUUCAAAGCAAGGUGUACUUGAAUACAUUAGCAUGGAAUAAUAAGAUAGGACUUUGGUGGUUCUUUUUAGAUAUUUUGUUGGUUUGCACGCCAAAGUAAUGAUUAAUAGGAGCAGUUGGGGGUAUUCGUAUUCAAUUGUCAGAGGUGAAAUUCUUGGAUUUAUAGAAGACGAACUACUGCGAAAGCAUUUACCAAGGAUGUUUUCAUUA